GACAGAGGGUGCAAACGUUGUUCGGAUUUACUGGGCGUAAAGCGCGUGUAGGCGGCUUGGCAAGUCGGAUGUGAAAGCCCACGGCUCAACCGUGGAAGAGCAUCCGAAACGGCCUCGCUCGAGUCUCGGAGAGGAAGGUGGAAUGCUUGGUGUAGAGGUGAAAUGCGUAGAUAUCGAGAGGAACACCUGCGGCGAAGGCGGGUAGCUGGGCCGACACUGACGCUGAUGCGCGAAAGCCAGGGGAGCGAACGGG
rnacentral:rRNA from 1 species